CUCGGUCACACAUCCUCCCUCCCAGCUCAACCCUAGUGGGGUGAGCGACCAUUGUCAUAAGGGUAUGUUUUGGUGAAAGGCCAUCAGCAUUUCCUUGUGUAGAGUUUGCCCUGUGCUCUACUGAGAUAUGAUAGGGUUGUAAAGUAAGGAACCAGCGAGUAACUCUGCUAUUGUUUUCUUUAUUCUGACUCAUCCAAAUGAGUGGUGCAUGAUCUGUCACCAACUCAAAUUUCCUG